UGAGAUAUAGUCACUGAGCUUCUAAUCAGC
rnacentral:piRNA from 1 species